rfam:Ovis aries breed Texel chromosome 1, whole genome shotgun sequence.
UCCCUGAUGGUCCAGCGGUUAGGACUCCUUGCUUCCAAUACAAAGGGUAUGGGUUAGAUUCCUGGUCAGGGAA